AAUCAACGCUGGCGGCGUGCCUCAGACAUGCAAGUCGAACGCGAAAGCUCCCUUCGGGGGGCAAGUAGAGUGGCGCACGGGUGAGUAACACGUAGGUAAUCUACCUUCGGGUGGGGAAUAACAACCGGAAACGGUUGCUAAUACCGCAUAAUGCAGCGGCACCUAAUGGUGACAGUUGUUAAAGCGGGGGAUCGAAAGAUCUCGCGCCUGAAGAGGAGCCUGCGGCGGAUUAGCUAGUUGGUAGGGUAACGGCCUACCAAGGCGACGAUCCGUAGCCGGCCUGAGAGGGCGGUCGGCCACACUGACACUGACAUACGGGUCAGACUCCUACGGGAGGCAGCAGUCGGGAAUAUUGCACAAUGGGCGAAAGCCUGAUGCAGCGACGCCGCGUGAGGGAUGACGGCCUGGUGUAACU
rnacentral:rRNA from 1 species